GUUGUACGUUAGGUACUUCUCCCACCUGGCAUCCUGUCGGUUUUAUACGUUAAAACGAUGUGCAAAAGUACCUUUUUGCGGAGGUGACGAUUUUCUACAGUUCUCCUCAUUGUGCUGCUAGUUGUGAAGACUCAAUACUAAAUACUGUUUUUCGCGUGGACAGACAACGGAAAUGUGGAUGCUCCCUUUGUGUUUUUCAACUAAGUAUUUAUUUAUACGAUAGGACGUAGGAACUAGAUAUUACUACAGUUUAAAGCCUUAACCUAUGAAGUAUAUAUAGUUUAGUUGUCUGCAGUAUCUAAAACUUAGAAUUCCACAGCUCGUAAGUCAGAGGUUACCAGAAACCAGUUGCCAGAGUAGCUCCUGGAAGACCACAGCUCAGAUUCAAAUCCCUCAAGAUGCUACUGAUAUCAGGAUGACAAAAAAACAUGCACUGCUCUGAUGAAAUCCUCUUAUGAUCAGCAGGCAAAAGGCAAGUAAAAGGAAUUAGGAGUCUAGUUCUGGUGUCUCCCAGGGCCCUAAUCAUAAUGUAGUGUUGGGACACAAGCCUAAGAACUGGAUAGUGUGGCUUUCCAUCGUGUCCUACAUACACGUGACAUGUUCUCCAGUGGCUACUUCUACACUCCCAGACAUACAGUUUGGUCCACACUCCAUGAAAAGAGAUAUGAAGUAGUCAUGGCUCAGGUAAGAAAUGAUUCUGAGACGUUCUUAACCUUGUACUAAUCAUUUAUAAUGUAGAAGGCAACAAGCAAGGCACUGCUAAGAUGUAAAGUUGAAUAAAAAUUCAUCUCCUGUGCUUAGGAACACAUACCAUCUAGAAAUUUGAAAAACUGUCAACUGAGAGACUUCAAGAGACAGCAACCAGGAGGAUGGCCCUGGGUUCUGAUGCAAAGUAGGGCAGGCCUGGUCCACAGGGGCAGAUGAGUGUGUGUUUAGAGGGGGAAGCAGGCAGGGGAGCAAGGAAAAGAGAUGAGCUAAAGAAAGAAGAAAAGUAAACAUUAUCCUUUCCAUGUCAUGAAAGAGUACUUCAAAAGAAGAAUGCUAGUUUGGGGAUGGAAAACAACAAAAUUCUCUUCUAGAGGUUUCCUAACUCAAAUCUCCUGAAUUUCUCAUGCCUCAUUUCUUCAACCUGGGACUCAUUAAAUUAACUCCUACUGAGUACAUAAGUAAGUAUCAGACAUUGUGAUGCCCAAAUGAAGAAGUCCUCAAGGAAGGCAGCUGAGGUUUUCCUAGAAGAACCCAUCUAAGAUGGCAGUGUUCUAAGAUGGCAGGGAAAUGAAAAGUUCUACCAUACAUACACAUGGUGCUGUGAUAAUGUAGGAGAGGGAAGGAUUUAAUCCCAUCUGGCAAGCAGAAGAAAAAGUCUUCCUCCAAUUUAAGUCCAGGCUAAACAGAUAAAUAGGAAUCUAUCGAGGUAAGAAAUCCUCCAUUCCACACAUUCCACACAUUCCACACAAGCCAUCCACAGCAUGGCACCUCUGUGGCCUAAAGAUGGCCUGCACUUCACAAAGAAGAGGGCAAGCAGCGCCCAAGCACCAGAGGAGACUGGCUGGAGGGGGACACUCUGAAGCCAGUCCCUCGAGCACCACUGAGAGAUUUGGGCUUCAUUCUCUAGCUCAGAGGUUGGCAAAUGCCCAGCCACGGGCAAUUCCAGCCUCCAACCUACAGCUGAUGUUGGAAUCGAUAUCAAGCUAAAGUGGUUUUUACUUUGCUAAGAAUCAAAAGAAAUAAUAUUUUGCAACGUGAAAAUUACAUGAUAUUCAAAUUUUAGGUUCUUCAAUAAGGUUUUCCUUGGACAUAGCCACACCCAAUUGUUUACAUAUUGUUCAUAGCUGCCUUCAAGAUCCAAGGACAGCAUGGAGUAGUUGUGACUGUCCCAGGACCUCAUGCAAAGCCGAGAAUAUUUACUAUCAGGCAGUUUAUAAAAAAUGUUUGUCAACACUGCUCUAGGUUAAUGAUUUUCAGUGUGGACACAUCCAAGUGGUUACAAAAGAUAUCCCCUUGGGGUACAGAAACAAAAUAUUAGAACAUUUAUUUAUGUUGCCAUGCUUAAAAAAAUAAAGCAAGUUUUUAUUAAUAUUUAUUCUAUGGACUGAGUGUGGAUGCCACACUUGUGCUUACAUCGAAAGGUCCUGGUUUGCAUGUGAUAUUCCAAGGGAGGGGCGGAACUUCUGCAUGGUGGUGCUGGCUCACACCAAUCAUCACUGGCCCAUGACUGGCUUUCAGUGAACUGCUGUUUUCAGUUUAUGGGGUACAAAAUGUCACUCGGGUAAAUUAUAUAAGACCUGUAAUGAAUAGAACUGAUGGGGCUCUGAACAGGAUACCCCAAAAUACGACACCUUGGCAUACUGAGUCUUUUAAGCUGAAGGAAACUGAAAUAAACCACAGAAGCAGGUCUCUCUGACCUUCUUCCAUGCUUCCUGCUCCUGAAGUGGACCAUAGAAACUAUGAUUCUUUUCACCCCUUCUUCCCUGAAGCAGGCCAUAAAACCUAGGAAGGUCAUUCUCUGACCUCCCUCCCUCCUCCCCUAAAAACCUUCAUGUGACAGAUGUCUUGCCCUUUCCCUGGAGAUAAGAAUUGCCACACAGGGAUGCCAAGAAGAAUCUGAACAGGCCUUGUUAAGAGUCUCCCAGCCUGGUACCAUUAGAUAAUACUCUUUGUCCUCCAAUCGUACUUCAGCAUGACUGUUCUUAAAAUACACAGCUUUCCCUUGGUAUUUGGAUCUUCAUUUCUGAAGGCUCCUGUGUCAUGUAAAACUUAUAUUAAAUAAAUGUGUAUGCUUUUCUCUUACUAACCUGUCUUUUGAUAUAGAUGUCUCAGCCAUAAACUCUGCAAUGAGUAAGUAAAAGAUACUACUUUUUCUCCCCUACAGAACCAUUAUCAUAACUUUCUACUAACUGGAGAAUGACUGUGAAAAUAUUUUGGACCAGAAAAAGGUCCCCAAACCCACAGACUUGAUGAUAACAUUCCAGUAACACUGAUGCCAGCAACAUUCAUCUUGGCAGAUGCUUUUUAAAAAAGAAAAAAAAAGUAACAAACUGAAAAAAUAAAGAAACAACCAAAAAAUCUCUGUGAUCCUAUGGAGUGGGUACAGAUACAGAAAGAUGGAAGGUCUACACUGGGGCUCAGCAAGUGCCUUGCUCAAGGUCACAAAACUAGUACGUGUAGAAACCAACGCAUAAUCUCCCAAUUUGCCUGAUUUGUAGCUAACUUGAUAUACCCAAUAGAGGUCAACAGGAAUAUAUCCUACUAUCCUCUAUCCUCAGUCCUUGACCUUGAUAAACCAUAUCCUCUCUGCUGAGAAAGACUCUCUCUUUGUCCAGCCCUUGAGCCAUAUUCUUGACUGGGCCCCGACCUUGGGUUUCCGUGUCCAGUUCUAGCAAGAAUCCUGCCAAGUCAGUUUAGGGAGAAUGCCCCCGCCCCUCACCUUCAUAUCUGAUCAAGUUCCUCAUCCCUACUCCCCCAAUCCUUCAUGUCUGAGCCCUUGGUCUCCCUUUAGCAGGAAGCCUGUUAGGCCAAUUUAGCAAGAAUCCCCCUACCCUGAUGUCUUCUCUUAGUGAUUUUCCACCACUGACCCCCUCACUCUGUUCCUUGCCUAUAAAUUCCCAGCUGUCUUUGCUGUAUUCAGAGUUGAGUCUGAUCUCCCAUCCCUAUGGCAAUGUCCCUUUUGCAACAGUCUUAAAUAAAAUCUUACUUACUUUUUUAACAAGCAUCAGAAUAAUUUUUUCUUUAACAACAUAUUACAAUUUUCUGAUUUGUACAGUCAAAAAGAUGACUGUGGAAAUUUUUUAAAUGGAAAUUGUUAAUACAAAUUAUGUAAUUAGCACAUAACUAUAAUCCUUGAGAUCAACCCCAUUAAUAUCUCUGUUAUAACCAAGACUUUUUAUAAUAGAAUUUUGUUACUUUCAUAAUUUAUUGUCCUGUUGCUCUAUGUUAUCACUCUGGUCUAACACCAGAUAGUCUCAAAUCCUUACAUUCCCUUUUGGGAAUGCAAACUCCAUGCUGCAGAGAGUUUUAUCAGCAUACACACAUGCACAAACACACACACACACAGCCCACUGACUCAAACAAUGUAUUAGAGUAGCGUUUUGAUGUUCUACAUGCAAAGAUCAGAAGAAGUAAAAAUAUUAAACUGUACAUUGAAAAUUGCCCUACAGAUUACUAUAUCAUUUCCCCCUUGCAUAAAGAGAUAUGAAAGUAACAGACUGCGUUUGAGGUUUACAUAAAGUCCCAUGAAUCAAAAUGGCCAAUCUUUGAGAUGAACCCUAAAGUGUGUGUGUGUGUGUGUGUAUGUGUGAAUCUUCUAUGUUC